CCUGGUUUGUUCGUGCUGGAAGCCCAGAGCGUGGAGAGUCUCGUGCUGAAUGACCCCGAAGUAAACGCAGCCGUCCAUUUGGAGAGAGACCGUCUGUUGGCCUCCCACUCUCCCAAGAGAGGACCAGCAUCCGUCUCUGGGCUCGUAGCUGAUGAAGUCAACCUGAUUCUGACGAGGCACGAAGCGAAUGCAGGUCUUGGAAGGGAAGGCCCGGAGGGCAUUCUCAAUGAUCUGCUUGUUAGAGGAACUGAAGCUACUGCUCACUGUGUAGGGCACUUCAACCAAUCCGUCAGUGCCUUUUUUCCAGAAGCACCCUGCACUGUAAAAUAACAUUUAGCUGGUUAGUCAAUUAUAUCUGAAAAUACAAUUAUUUUGACAUAAAAAAAUAUAUUCGUUAAAUUAAAGUAUGUAUAUAUAUCAACAUAAGAUGCAUGUAAAAACAACUCCAAAGGGAACUGUGUUUCAUUUCCCCUCAAUUUACUAAUUUUAAGUUCCAGCAACAACUUGACACCUGUCUCUGUUUUUAGAGGAUUGUGGGUAAUUCCACAUUCUUUGACUUUAUACUACUUCUACACAAUGUUGUAUACAUAUUUUGAAGGCAGAAAAUUAUAUUUCUGUAUUAGUAUUUAGGUAACUUUCUGAAACAUUAAAAGUGAAGUAUAUUGUACAUAAAAAUACCUAAUCUUGGAAAUACUCAAAAAAGCUGAUGCAGAUAGAUGUAAAAGUAGAAUUCAUACAAUAUUGUUGUUAGUGUGUGUUGGUUGUACCUAAAGCAAACCAUGGCAUUUCUGGUUGUUGGCGCCACCAUGUCUCCCUCCAACAGAAACUGACUGGAGCCGUUAUUGGUGGUCAGAAUUCUCUCAGUGAUGUCUACAUCCUCAGGGUCGUCUGUUAGGAUCUCUGGUCCACUUCCGUCCUCCAUGAGAGGGUUGGCCUGAGAGAGGCCCAGCAGCAGCAGCAGCAGCAGGGUCAGAGAGGGGCUUUGCUCCAUCUUCAGUGUGUGGAGAGGAGAGACUCUGGAUGGCUCCUUGGAUCUGACAGUGGAGAGACUCUAGAUGGCUUCUUGGUCCUGGAGAUGCUUUGGAGCGGCUUGAUGUGUGAUUCUGUCUGGUCAGUCCUGGGCUUUUUAUACAGUCCUCUACAGGUGUGUCUGCUGGAGGAUUAUGGUUUGGGGUCCAUGUUGUUAGUCCUAAAUAAACCUCUGAAGGGAGGGUUCCACCACCACACCUACAGUUUCAACAUGGUUUUAAUCCAUACAGGUCCAUUUACACCUGGCCAUGCCUACUCAACAAACACGUCACACACUAAUGUCAUGACAGUUUAAUCUACUACAAUGAUGUGGAGAGGAACGUUUAAACUUUUUAAUGUUUAUUUGUCACCUGCACAGGACACAGCAGGUGUAAAACAGUACAUUGAAAUAUUUGCAGCUCUUAAUUAAGUAAUAUAGAUUUUAAAAACACAGGAAUAAUCUAGAUAAUAAAACAGUAAUUUUAUUUUAAUUAAAUUUUUUAUUCAACUGUUCUGCCUGCGGCUAUGGAACCCUGACCUGUUCACCGGACGUGCUACCUGUCCCAGACCUGCUGUUUUCAACUCUAGAGACAGCAGGUGCGGUAGAGAUACUCUGAAUGAUCGGCUAUGAAAAACCACCUGACAUUUACUCCUGAGGUGCUGACUUUUUGCACCCUCAACACCUACUGUGAUUAUUAUUAUUUGACCAUGCUGGUCAUUUAUGAACAUUUUGAACAUCUUGGCCAUGUUCUGUUAUAAUCUCCCCCCGGCACAGCCAGAAGAGGACUGGCCACCCCUCAUAGCCUGGUUCCUCUCUAGGUUUCUUCCUAGGUUUUGGCCUUUCUAGGGAGUUUUUCCUAGCCACCGUACUUCUACACCUGCAUUGCUUGCUGUUUGGGGUUUUAGGCUGGGUUUCUGUACAGCACUUUGAGAUAUCAGCUGAUGUAAGAAGGGCUAUAGUAUAUAAAUACAUUUGAUUUGAUAAUAAUCUAGAUUAUAAACAUUGUAAUGAUAUAGAUAAUAAACACAGUAAUAAUCUAGAUAAUAAACACAGUAAUAAUCUAGAUAAUAAACACAGUAAUAAUCUAGAUAAUAAACACAGUAAUAAUCUAGAUAAUAAACACAGUAAUAAUCUAGAUAAUAAACACAGUAAUAAUCUAGAUAAUAAACACAGUAAUAAUCUAGAUAAUAAACAUUGUAAUGAUAUAGAUAAUAAACACAGUAAUAAUCUAGAUAAUAAACAUAGUAAUAAUCUAGAUUAUAAACAUUGUAAUGAUAUAGAUAAUAAACAUUGUAAUGUUAUAGAUAAUAAACACAGUAAUAAUCUAGAUAAUAAACAUUGUAAUGAUAUAGAUAAUAAACAUUGUAAUGAUAUAGAUGUCACGUUCGUCGUAAUGAUUGGACCAAGGCGCAGCGUGCGUAGAGUUCCACAUCUUUUAAUUCAUAGACACUCAGCAGAACAAACAAGCACAAAGGAAAUGUGAAGCUACUGGUGAAGCUACACAGGCAACUAUCCGUAGACAAGAUCCCACCAAACACAAAAUGAAUAAAUGGCUACCUAAAUAUGAUCCCCAAAAUCAGAGACAACGAUAAACAGCUGUCUCUGAUUGGGAACCAUAUCAGGCCAACAACACCCCUAGACAUACAACACCCCUAGAUGACCCACCCUAGUCACUAUCACGCUCCAACCGACAGAGAAUAAACAGCUUACUAUGGUCAGGUCGUGACAAUAGAUAAUAAAAACACUGUAAUUAAAUAGAUAAUAAACUGUAAUAAUAUAGAUAAUAAACACUGUAAUAAUAUAGAUAAUAUAGAAUAAAAACAGGUUACGGUGUAAUGGCAGGUCUGUAGUUAGGGUGUAACGGCAGGUCUGUAGUUAGGGUGUAAUGGCAGGUCUGUAGUUAGGGUGUAAUGGCAGGUCUGUAGUUAGGGUGUAAUGGCAGGUCUGUACAGGUUAGGGUGUAAUGGCAGGUCUGUAGUUAGGGUGUAAUGGCAGGUCUGUAGUUAGGGUGUAAUGGCAGGUCUGUAGUUAGGGUGUAAUGGCAGGUCUGUAGUUAGGGUGUAAUGGCAGGUCUGUAGUUAGGGUGUAAUGGCAGGUCUGUAGUUAGGGUGUAAUGGCAGGUCUGUAGUUAGGGUGUAAUGGCAGGUCUGUAGUUAGGGUGUAACAACAGGUCUGUAGUUAGGGUGUAAUGGCAGGUCUGUAGUUAGGGUGUAAUGGCAGGUCUGUAGUUAGGGUGUAAUGGCAGGUCUGUAGUUAGGGUGUAAUGGCAGGUCUGUAGUUAGGGUGUAAUGGCAGGUCUGUAGUUAGGGUGUAAUGGCAGGUCUGUAGUUAGGGUGUAAUGGCAGGUCUGUACAGGUUAGGGUGUAAUGGCAGGUCUGUACAGGUUAGGGUGUAAUGGCAGGUCUGUAGUUAGGGUGUAAUGGCAGGUCUGUACAGGUUAGGGUGUAAUGGCAGGUCUGUAGUUAGGGUGUAAUGGCAGGUCUGUAGUUAGGGUGUAAUGGCAGGUCUGUAGUUAGGGUGUAAUGGCAGGUCUGUAGUUAGGGUGUAAUGGCAGGUCUGUAGUUAGGGUGUAAUGGCAGGUCUGUAGUUAGGGUGUAAUGGCAGGUCUGUAGUUAGGGUGUAAUGGCAGGUCUGUAGUUAGGGUGUAACAACAGGUCUGUAGUUAGGGUGUAAUGGCAGGUCUGUACAGGUUAGGGUGUAAUGGCAGGUCUGUAGUUAGGGUGUAAUGGCAGGUCUGUAGUUAGGGUGUAAUGGCAGGUCUGUAGUUAGGGUGUAAUGGCAGGUCUGUAGUUAGGGUGUAAUGGCAGGUCUGUACAGGUUAGGGUGUAAUGGCAGGUCUGUAGUUAGGGUGUAAUGGCAGGUCUGUAGUUAGGGUGUAAUGGCAGGUCUGUAGUUAGGAUGUAAUGGCAGGUCUGUAGUUAGGGUGUAAUGGCAGGUCUGUAGUUGGGGUGUAAUGGCAGGUGUGUAGUUAGGGUGUAAUGGCAGGUCUGUAGUUAGGGUGUAAUGGCAGGUCUGUAGUUAGGGUGUAAUGGCAGGUCUGUAGUUAGGGUGUAAUGGCAGGUCUGUAGUUAGGGUGUAAUGGCAGCUCUGUACAGGUUAGGGUGUAACGGCAGGUCUGUAGUUAGGGUGUAAUGGCAGGUCUGUAGUUAGGGUGUAACGGCAGGUCUGUAGUUAGGGUGUAAUGGCAGGUCUGUAGUUAGGGUGUAAUGGCAGGUCUGUAGUUAGGGUGUAAUGGCAGGUCUGUAGUUAGGGUGUAACGGCAGGUCUGUAGUUAGGUUGUAAUGGCAGGUCUGUAGUAACGGUGUAACGGCAGGUCUGUAGUUAGGGUGUAAUGACAUGUCUGUAGUUAGGGUGUAAUGGCAGGUCUGUAGUAACGGUGUAACGGCAGGUCUGUAGUUAGGGUGUAACGGCAGGUCUGUAGUUAGGGUGUAACGGCAGGUCUGUAGUUAGGGUGUAACGGCAGGUCUGUAGUUAGGGUGUAAUGGCAGGUCUGUAGUUAGGGUGUAAUGGCAGGUCUGUAGUUAGGGUGUAAUGGCAGGUCUGUAGUUAGGGUGUAAUGGCAUGUCUGUAGUUAGGGUGUAAUGGCAGGUCUGUACAGGUUAGGGUGUAAUGGCAGGUCUGUAGUUAGGGUGUAACGGCAGGUCUGUAGUUAGGGUGUAACGGCAGG